GCCCCCGUAGCUCAGCCGGAUAGAGCGCCGGAUUCCUAAUCCGUAGGCCGUGGGUUCAAAUCCCGCCGGGGGCACCA
rnacentral:tRNA from 1 species